rnacentral:lncRNA from 1 species
AGCUGGGUGACCUUGUGCAAGUCACUUUAACCCUCUGGGACUUGUGGCCCUCAUCUGUAAAAUGGGUAGAAGGUCAGAGUGGACCUCGUGGCCUGAGAGGCUAGUACCCCAUGCUGCAUGUAAGUCUUACAUCCUCCUCUUUGGUGAUUGGAUACUGACCCUCUCCCCAGGGGUUCCUGCACAGAGCUGGAAUUCUCUCUGGUGUCUUUGCAUUCUAGUGGGUGGAAUGCCUUGUUUCUCAGUAGCAAUGAGAAAUGUUAAUGUGAGGUUAUGAAAGCAAGCCAAGAGCCAUGGAAUAAUUAAAACACACACGCACACAAAGAAGGAAAAGCGAGAGGGGGAAACACACUUAAUGGACAAGGGAUGAGUAAAACCCAAUGGACUGAGAAAACCCCAGAGCUGAACUUCACAUGACCCCGCGUGCUGCCUGCAGUUGCGACACCCGCGUGCCCCUUACGCUCCGCCGGCCUCUCAGUGAUGUCAGUGGGCCAUGGGCCCCACAGGAAGCAGGGGCUGCCAUCAGCCUGGUGGAGCGUGCCAGCCCGCUCCUCCUCCACGGCCCACUUCCCACCCACCCGGGUCUCCAGAUAACAUGAAGCCAUAGCUCCCAGGCUCGUCAGCGGGGGAAACCAACUCAGUGCUUCUCAGAAAAUAGAACCCCAGCCCAUUAGUGAUGUCCACGCAGGCAAGAGAUGACCAAGAAGAAUGUUUGCCUUUUAGGAGUUCUCUGCCUGAAACCAGCAGGUUUCCUUUAGGGAUAGGGUGACUGUGCUUGCUGAACACCUCUAGGUCGUCAGUGAAUGAAAUAAUUCAUUCUGUGCUUGAGUGUCUAAGACCCAGGGGGUUUAGGAAUAAUUAGGAUACUGGCUGUACCCUUGGAGUUCUGUGCUGCUUGGGGGAUACGACUCAAACUCACAGACAUCUGUGGCUCAAAUCAAGGCAUAUAGAUGCAGUGACUCUUGGAACAUUCGAGGGAGAAUCACCACCUCUGCUGGUGGAGGAAAGGCCAGGAACUGCCCACCUAGUUUUCCCAUGACCCCAGCCUGUAGCGGGAUAUGUCAGAAGAUUUGGAUUUAGAGGAACUUGGGUUUGACAAAAUAGAAGUGUAUGUAUAUAAACAGAGUUGGGAGUGAUGGGGGAUAGGAUGCUGACAGCACCUUGGUAGUCCCUCCCCCUACGUGACAGUAUUGACUUCAUAGUGUUGUUGUGAGGCUUGAAGAAGAUACAAGAGGGAAGAGGAGCGUUCCUUGCCGUGCAGAUGCAAAUGCUCAUUGUUACUUGUUCUGCCUCUCUGUGUCUGUGACAUCCAGCCCUGUGUGGGCUACCCUGGUUGCAAAGUGGGCCUCCUGCCGUUGAGCA